GCGCCUGUAGCUCAGGUGGAUAGAGCAGCUGCCUUCUAAGCAGCGGGUCGGGAGUUCGAGUCUUCCCAGGCGCGCCA
rnacentral:tRNA from 1 species